rnacentral:rRNA from 1 species
UACAGAGGUGGCAAGCGUUGUUCGGAAUUACUGGGCGUAAAGGGCGCGUAGGCGGCCUUGUAAGUCCUGUGUGAAAUCCCCCGGCUCAACUGGGGAACUGCACAGGAGACUGCUUGGCUUGAGUUCGGGAGAGGGAAGCGGAAUUCCGGGUGUAGCGGUGAAAUGCGUAGAUAUCCGGAGGAACACCGGUGGCGAAGGCGGCUUCCUGGACCGACACUGACGCUGAGGCGCGAAAGCGUGGGGAGCGAACGGG